AUCUUAAGCAGGUCAGGGUUUGAAUAUUUUUUUGCACAGAUAUAGCUAUCAAAUGAUCUCCUCUCCUGCUCACAAAGGCAAAUUCAUCAAUUCUAGCCUGAGAACCACGAAGUAAGAUUAAAGAAAGAACAAAAAAACAUCAAGGAACCCAGCAUUUCACAGUAUAUUAUAUUGUAUUGGAUUAUAUGUGAAAUGCUUACUAAGGGAUUGGAAACAUUUGUGUUAAGGCUUUGAUUUAAGUUGCAGAGAAACUUGGAUCAGAGGUGGUGCAUUAUAGAAGGUUCUCUCUUUCGUUUUUUUAGUUUUUUGUUUCCUUUUGCCCAUGAGUUAUGAAACAUAGAAACAUAGAAUGUGACGGCAGAUAAGAACCAUUCGGCCCAUCUAGUCUGCCCAACUUUCUAAAUACUUUCAUUAGUCCCUGGCCUUAUCUUAUAGUUAGGAUAGCCUUACGCCUAUCCCACACAUGCUUAAACUCCUUCACUGUGUUAACC